CCUACGGGAGGCAGCAGUGAGGCAUAUUGGUCAAUGGACGAGAGUCUGAACCAGCCAAGUAGCGUGAAGGAUGACUGCCCUAUGGGUUGUAAACUUCUUUUAUAUGGGAAUAAAAUGUUCCACGUGUGGGAUUUUGUAUGUACCAUAUGAAUAAGGAUCGGCUAACUCCGUGCCAGCAGCCGCGGUAAUACGACGGAUCCGAGCGUUAUCCGGAUUUUUUGGGUUUAAAGGGAGCGUAGGUGGAUUGUUAAAUCAGUUUUGAAAGUUUGCGGCUCAACCGUAAAAUUGCAGUUGAAACUGGCAGUCUUGAGUACAGUAGAGGUGGGCGGAAUUCGCGGUGUAGCGGUGAAAUGCUUAGAUAUCACGAAGAACUCCGAUUGCGAAGGCAGCUCACUGGACUGCAACUGACACUGAGGCUCGAAAGUGUGGGUAUCAAACAGGAUUAGAUACCCCUGUAGUC
rnacentral:rRNA from 1 species